AUGGUGUAACAUAACCACCCUAAAGGCACCCAGAUUCCAUCUAAUUUUGGAGGCUGAGCAGGGAUAGUCCUGGUUAAUACUUGGAUGAGGGGCUACCAAUGAAAACCAGGUCCUGUAGACUAUA
rnacentral:rRNA from 11 species